GACGAACGCUGGCGGCGUGCUUAACACAUGCAAGUCGAACGGAAAGGCCCUGCUUUUGCGGGGUUCUCGUGUGCCGAACGGGUGAGUAACACGUGAGUAACAUGCACUUGUCUUUGGGAUAACUUCAGGAAACUGGGGCUAAUACCCGAUAGGAGCUCCUGCUGCAUGGUGGGGGUUGGAAAGUUUCGGCGGUUGGGGAUGGACUCGCGGCUUAUCAGCUUGUUGGUGGGGUAGUGGCUUACCAAGGCUUUGACGGGUAGCCGGCCUGAGAGCGUGACUGGCCACAUUGGGACUGAGAUACGGCCCAGACUCCUACGGGCCGCAGUAGUGGGGAGCAUUGCACAAUGGGCGGACGCGUGAUGCAGCAAUGCCGCGUGCGGGAUGACCGCCUUCUGGUGAUGAACCGCUUUCGCCUGUGACGAAGCGUGAGUGACGGUAAUGGAUCAAGAAGCACCGGCUAACUACGUG
rnacentral:rRNA from 1 species